UACGAAGGGGGCUAGCGUUGUUCGGAAUCACUGGGCGUAAAGCGCACGUAGGCGGCUUUCUAAGUCAGGGGUGAAAUCCUGGAGCUCAACUCCAGAACUGCCUUUGAUACUGGGAAUCUCGAGUCCGGGAGAGGUGAGUGGAACUGCGAGUGUAGAGGUGAAAUUCGUAGAUAUUCGCAAGAACACCAGUGGCGAAGGCGGCUCACUGGCCCGGUACUGACGCUGAGGUGCGAAAGCGUGGGGAGCAAACAGG
rnacentral:rRNA from 1 species